AUGGCCGUGGGUUUUGCUGGUAGCGGCGGUGGCGAGGACCAGCAGCGGUAUGGCGGGAGGGUCACAGCGUUCGCGGCGCUCUCCUGCAUCACGGCGGCCAUGGGCGGCGCCAUCUUCGGCUACGACAUCGGCACCGCGGGCGGGGUGUCGUCCAUGGAACCGUUCCUGAGGGACUUCUUCCCGGACGUGCACCGGCGGAUGCAGGCCGGCGCCGGCGUCGGCAACUACUGCAAGUUUGACAGCCAGCUCCUCACGCUCUUCACCUCCUCGCUCUACGUCUCGGGGCUCCUCACGGCCGUGCUCGUCGCGUCGUGGUUCACGGAGAGGCACGGGCGCCGGCCGUCCAUGAUCCUCGGCGGCGUCGCGUACCUCGGCGGCGCCGCGGUCAGCGGAGGGGCAGUGAACGUGUACAUGGCCAUCCUCGGCAGGGCGCUGCUCGGCGUCGGCCUCGGGUUCGCCAAUCAGGCAGUGCCACUGUACCUGUCCGAGAUGGCGCCGGCGCGAUACAGGGGAGCCUUCAGCAACGGUUUCCAAUUCAGCCUCUGUCUCGGCGCUCUCGCCGCCACCGUCGUCAACUAUGGCGCCGAGAAGAUCAAGGCUGGCUGGGGCUGGAGGCUCUCGCUGGGCCUGGCCGGCGUCCCCGCUGUGCUGCUCACCGUCGGCGCCAUCUUCUUGCCGGAGACGCCCAACAGCCUCGUUCAGCAAGGGAAAGGCCGUGGCGAGGUGAAGGCGCUGCUCCAAAAGAUAAGAGGCGUCGACGCCGUCGACGAGGAGCUGGACGACAUCGUCGCCGCCAACGCAACGGGACAGGCCGGCGACAACGGCCUGCGCCUCAUCCUGUCGCAGCGCCGGUACCGCCCGCAGCUUGCCAUGGCCGUCCUGAUACCGUCCUUCACGCAGCUCACCGGGAUCAACGCUAUCGGCUUCUACGCGCCGGUGCUGCUGCGCACCAUUGGCAUGAGCGAGAGUGCGGCACUGCUGUCCACCAUCGUCAUGGUCAUCAUCUCCUCCGCGUCCACCUUCGCGUCCAUGCUCCUCGUCGACCGCUUCGGGAGGCGGACGCUCCUCGUCCUCGGCGGCGUCCAGAUGUUCCUCUCCGAGGUGCUCAUCGGCGGCAUCAUGGCCGCGAAGCUCCGCGACGAGGGCCAGGUCAGCAGGGCCUACGCCGUCGUCCUAAUCUUCCUCAUCGCCAUCUACUCCACCGGCUUCGGCUGGUCCUGGGGCCCGCUCAGCUGGCUGAUACCGAGUGAGAUCUUCCCGCUGGAGGUCCGGUCCGCCGGGCAGAGCAUCACGGUGGCGUCGGGAUUCGUGUUCACCAUCCUCGUCGCGCAGUACUUCCUGGCCAUGCUGUGCCGGCUGAAGGCGUGGCUGUUCUUCUUCUUCGCUGGCUGGAUCCUGGUCAUGACGGCGUUCGCGUACCUCUUCUUGCCGGAGACCAAGGGGAUCCCCAUUGAGCAGAUUGGGAACCUAUGGGGGAGGCACUGGUACUGGAAGAGAGUUGUGGGGGUUGAGGAAGUAGACGACGGUCAGAAGCUCUAA
rnacentral:rRNA from 1 species